UACGUAGGGUGCAAGCGUUAAUCGGAAUUACUGGGCGUAAAGCGUGCGCAGGCGGUUUGGUAAGACAGAUGUGAAAUCCCCGGGCUUAACCUGGGAAUUGCAUUUGUGACUGCCCGUCUAGAGUGUGUCAGAGGGGGGUAGAAUUCCACGUGUAGCAGUGAAAUGCGUAGAGAUGUGGAGGAAUACCGAUGGCGAAGGCAGCCCCCUGGGAUAACACUGACGCUCAUGCACGAAAGCGUGGGGAGCAAACAGG
rnacentral:rRNA from 1 species